GGUCCGUUGGUCAAGGGGUUAAGACACCGCCUUUUCACGGCGGUAACACGGGUUCGAAUCCCGUACGGACUC
rnacentral:tRNA from 2 species